CCAAAUGCGGGAAGCAGGGUGAUCCUAUGCUGCCAAGAAAAUCUUCUAGCGAGGUUCUAGCCGCCCGUACCCCAAACCGACUCAGGUGGUUAGGUAGAGAAUACCAAGGCGAUCGAGUGAAUCGUAGUUAAGGAAUUCGGCAAAAUGCCCCCGUAACUUCGGGAGAAGGGGGGCCCGGAUUCUGAAGUCCUUUACGGACUAGGAUGAUGGGCCGCAGAGACCAGGGAGAAGCGACUGUUUACUAAAAACACAGGUCCGUGCGAAGUUGCAAAACGAUGUAUACGGACUGACGCCUGCCCGGUGCUGGAAGGUUAAGAGGACGGGUUAGACGCAAGUCGAAGCUCAGAAUUUAAGCCCCAGUAAACGGCGGUGGUAACUAUAACCAUCCUAAGGUAGCGAAAUUCCUUGUCGGGUAAGUUCCGACCUGCACGAAUGGCGUAACGACUUCUCCACUGUCUCAACUGCGAACUCGGCGAAAUUGCAUUACGAGUAAAGAUGCUCGUUACGCGCAGCAGGACGGAAAGACCCCGGGACCUUUACUAUAGCUUGGUAUUGGUGUUCGGGACGGCUUGUGUAGGAUAGGUGGGAGACUAUGAAGCAUGCACGCCAGUGUGUGUGGAGUCAACGUUGAAAUACCACUCUGGUCGUUCUGGAUAUCUAACCUCGGUCCGUGAUCCGGAUCAGGGACAGUGCCUGGUGGGUAGUUUAACUGGGGCGGUUGCCUCCUAAAAUGUAACGGAGGCGCUCAAAGGUUCCCUCAGUCUGGUUGGCAAUCAGAUUUUGAGUGUAAGUGCACAAGGGAGCUUGACUGUGAGACUGACAAGUCGAACAGGGACGAAAGUCGGAACUAGUGACCCGACGGUGGCUUGUGGAAGCGCCGUCGCUCAACGGAUAAAAGGUACCCCGGGGAUAACAGGCUGAUCUUGCCCAAGAGUCCAUAUCGACGGCAUGGUUUGGCACCUCGAUGUCGGCUCGUCGCAUCCUGGGGGUGGAGUUGCUCCCAAGGGUUGGGCUGUUCGCCCAUUAAAGCGGUACGCGAGCUGGGUUUAGAACGUCGUGAGACAGUUCGGUCCCUAUCCGCUGCGCGCGUAGGAAACUUGAGAAAGGCUGACCCUAGUACGAGAGGACCGGGUUGGACGAACCUCUGGUGUGUCAGUUGUUCUGCCAAGAGCACGGCUGAUUGGCUACGUUCGGAAGUGAUAACCGCUGAAAGCAUCUAAGCGGGAAGCACGUUUCAAGAUGAGGUUCCAUGGGCUUUGCCCGAGAGGCUCCCAGUAGACGACUGGGUUGAUAGGCCAGAUGUGGAAGUGCAGCAAUGCAUGUAGCUGACUGGUACUAAU
rnacentral:rRNA from 1 species